UUGAAACAAAAUUGUACAGACGGCCAAAAGAAUGUAAAAUCUUAUGCUGAUAAGCCCACCACUUAAUUAACCCAUUAAGUUGCAUUGCACCCUAAUGCACCCUACUUUAUCAUUUAUUCUGUUUAAGACCAGCUGAUUUUACUUGUCAGGGGGAGAGUGUUGGCUCCCACACAAAAAUUUUAGCUAAAUUUCUGUCUGCGC